rnacentral:lncRNA from 1 species
GAAGCAUACUUCUCCUCUGUCUAGUCCGCACUCCCUCUGGCCUGCUGCACUGUCUCUAAAAGAUGACAAAUAAACAUCUGGAAAUGGAGAAUCACAAGAUGUCUUAAAACCUCUGUUCAAGCUUUCAUCUAUCAAACCCUUACUGAGCCCUGAUGUGGUUUAAGUGUCCAUGCAUGGGUCUGGAACUGCUUGCCUCAGCCCCUGGAGGAUCAGAGUUCUCAUGCGCUCUUCAGGGUAUUGACAGAGGGCCCAAUACGUUGGGCUGAUACACUGUCCUGCCUGCCUCUGACAGCUCAGAUUUAGAAAUUACCUCGGUCGUGUGGAAGAUGGUGAUCAGAGUGACAAUGCUCCAGUAUAACCUCCAGGUCCAGCUUAAAACUACAGAACAUUACAGAUGGAAGAACCUUUAUAAUUAAUAACCCCCUUAACAUGUACCAGGGAGCAUUCGGAAAGAGGCUGAUUCUCAAUAGGCACUGAAAGGAUUAGUAGAGAGGGCCAUUCUGCAAAACACCUGACCGCCACUCUUCAAAUGUGUCAAGGUCCUGGAAGACAAGAUGCCACCAAGAGACGGUCAUAGAUAGGAGGAGACAAAGGAGACAUGACAUCUAAAUGCAAUCUGUGUGAUCCUGUUUGGAUCUUCGAGCAGAAAAGGGGAAUUUGUGGAAAAACUAGGUAAAGUCUGUAAGUCUAUAGAUUAGUUAACGGUAUUGUAUUAAUGUCAAUGUAUUUGUUUUGAUAUCCUGG